GUGAUCUAGCCAUGGGCAGGUUGAAGGUUGAGUAACAUCAACUGGAGGACCGAACCGACUAAUGUUGAAAAAUUAGCGGAUGACUUGUGGCUAGGGGUGAAAGGCCAAUCAAACUCGGAGAUAGCUGGUUCUCCCCGAAAGCUAUUUAGGUAGCGCCUCGGACGAAUACUACUGGGGGUAGAGCACUGUUAAGGCUAGGGGGUCAUCCCGACUUACCAACCCUUUGCAAACUCCGAAUACCAGUAAGUACUAUCCGGGAGACACACGGCGGGUGCUAACGUCCGUCGUGGAGAGGGAAACAACCCAGACCGCCAGCUAAGGUCCCAAAGUAUUGCUAAGUGGGAAACGAUGUGGGAAGGCUCAGACAGCUAGGAUGUUGGCUUAGAAGCAGCCAUCAUUUAAAGAAAGCGUAAUAGCUCACUAGUCGAGUCGGCCUGCGCGGAAGAUGUAACGGGGCUAAGCAAUACACCGAAGCUGCGGCAAUAUCUUUUAGAUAUUGGGUAGGGGAGCGUUCUGUAAGCCGUUGAAGGUGAAUCGUAAGGUUUGCUGGAGGUAUCAGAAGUGCGAAUGCUGACAUGAGUAACGACAAAGGGGGUGAAAAACCUCCUCGCCGGAAGACCAAGGGUUCCUGUCCAACGUUAAUCGGGGCAGGGUGAGUCGACCCCUAAGGUGAGGCCGAAAGGCGUAAUCGAUGGGAAACGGGUUAAUAUUCCCGUACUUCUGACUAUUGCGAUGGGGGGACGGAGAAGGCUAGGUGGGCCAGGCGACGGUUGUCCUGGUUCAAGUGCGUAGGCUUGAGAGUUAGGUAAAUCCGGCUCUCUCUAAGGCUGAGACACGACGUCGAGCUGCUACGGCAGUGAAGUCAUUGAUGCCAUGCUUCCAGGAAAAGCCUCUAAGCUUCAGAUAGUCAGGAAUCGUACCCCAAACCGACACAGGUGGUCGGGUAGAGAAUACCAAGGCGCUUGAGAGAACUCGGGUGAAGGAACUAGGCAAAAUGGUACCGUAACUUCGGGAGAAGGUACGCUCUUGAUGGUGAAGUCCCUCGCGGAUGGAGCUGACGAGAGUCGCAGAUACCAGGUGGCUGCAACUGUUUAUUAAAAACACAGCACUGUGCAAAAUCGCAAGAUGACGUAUACGGUGUGACGCCUGCCCGGUGCCGGAAGGUUAAUUGAUGGGGUUAGCGCAAGCGAAGCUCUUGAUCGAAGCCCCGGUAAACGGCGGCCGUAACUAUAACGGUCCUAAGGUAGCGAAAUUCCUUGUCGGGUAAGUUCCGACCUGCACGAAUGGCGUAAUGAUGGCCACGCUGUCUCCACCCGAGACUCAGUGAAAUUGAAAUCGCUGUGAAGAUGCAGUGUACCCGCGGCUAGACGGAAAGACCCCGUGAACCUUUACUACAGCUUGGCACUGAACAUUGAACCUACAUGUGUAGGAUAGGUGGGAGGCUAUGAAGACGUGACGCCAGUUGCGUUGGAGCCGUCCUUGAAAUACCACCCUUGUAUGUUUGAUGUUCUAACUUAGACCCAUUAUCUGGGUUGAGGACAGUGCCUGGUGGGUAGUUUGACUGGGGCGGUCUCCUCCCAAAGAGUAACGGAGGAGCACGAAGGUGGGCUAAUCACGGUUGGACAUCGUGAGGUUAGUGCAAUGGCAUAAGCCCGCUUAACUGCGAGAAUGACGGUUCGAGCAGGUGCGAAAGCAGGUCAUAGUGAUCCGGUGGUUCUGUAUGGAAGGGCCAUCGCUCAACGGAUAAAAGGUACUCCGGGGAUAACAGGCUGAUACCGCCCAAGAGUUCAUAUCGACGGCGGUGUUUGGCACCUCGAUGUCGGCUCAUCACAUCCUGGGGCUGAAGUCGGUCCCAAGGGUAUGGCUGUUCGCCAUUUAAAGUGGUACGCGAGCUGGGUUUAGAACGUCGUGAGACAGUUCGGUCCCUAUCUGCCGUGGGCGUUGGAAGAUUGAAGGGGGCUGCUCCUAGUACGAGAGGACCGGAGUGGACGAACCUCUGGUGUUCGGGUUGUGUCGCCAGACGCAUUGCCCGGUAGCUAAGUUCGGAAUUGAUAAGCGCUGAAAGCAUCUAAGCGCGAAGCGAGCCCUGAGAUGAGUCUUCCCUGA
rnacentral:rRNA from 1 species